rnacentral:rRNA from 1 species
ACUCAAAUGAAUUGACGGGGGCCCGCACAAGCGGUGGAACAUGUGGUUUAAUUCGAUGCAACGCGAAGAACCUUACCUGGGCUUGACAUCUGCAGAACCUUCCAGAGAUGGAGGGGUGCCUUCGGGAACUGCAAGACAGGUGGUGCACGGUUGUCGUCAGCUCGUGUCGUGAGAUGUUGGGUUAAGUCCCGCAACGAGCGCAACCCUCGUGGUCUGUUGAUACAGCUCGCAAGAGUAUGAUCCCUCAGGCCAGACUGCCGGUGAUAAACCGGAGGAAGGUGGGGAUGACGUCAAAUCAUCACGCCCCUUAUGUCCAGGGCUACACACGUGUUACAAUGGGAUGAGGACAAUGGGAUGCUUGGCAGCGAUGCUUGGCAAAUCCCCUAAACCUCCCCUCAGUUCGGAUCGUAGUCUGCAACUCGACUACGUGAAGUCGGAAUCGCUAGUAAACGCAGAUCAGCACGCUGCGUUGAAUACGUUCCCGGGCCUUGUACACACCGCCCGU